CAGUCUCGCUUUGCAGUGGCAACACAGAUGUCAUCCACCACUGGCAGCUCACGUGCCAGUUCAAUGAGCAACACUGCCAAGGCUGACCUCUCCCAGUUCUCAGUCCCUCCACCUAUUUAAGAGCCAAGUAGCUUAAAAUACUGAAAAGCAUUAAUAGAAAUGGGAUAGUCUCUGGAGCGUUUUAGGAUGUGAGCCCAGUUCCAUUGUGGGGACAUUUACUUAAGGAAGACCAAAACCAGUCUUCGUAUUGAAAAAAGAUCUAUGGCAAUACCGGGACAUUGCAUCUCAGAACUUAAAGGCUGUUGUGUCAUUUUGCUAUCUUUAGUGUGAGCAGUAUCCUAGAAGAUGACCUGACUGUUGGCUAAGGGCAUUGGAGACAGCAGCUACCAAGUUGGUGGUCAUUACAUGCUAGAGUGAGAAGCCC